rnacentral:rRNA from 1 species
UACGUAGGGUGCGAGGGUUAAUCGGAAUUACUGGGCGUAAAGCGUGCGCAGGCGGUUUUGUAAGACAGCUGUGAAAUCCCCGGGCUCAACCUGGGAACUGCGGUUGUGACUGCAAGACUGGAGUGUGGCAGAGGGGGGUGGAAUUCCACGUGUAGCAGUGAAAUGCGUAGAGAUGUGGAGGAACACCGAUGGCGAAGGCAGCCCCCUGGGUCAACACUGACGCUCAUGCACGAAAGCGUGGGGAGCAAACAGG